rnacentral:lncRNA from 1 species
AAAUCUCCACAUGUACCACGAAGCAACGGACCGGUAAGGCCUCCACUUGUCACACAACUGGUCCAUCUGCGAGGGCCGGGGCAAGUCCUCGAGGUUGUAGAGUGAGAAAGUCCUCACGUUGGGAACCGGCAGAGUCGCUCCUGCGCUUCCGGUUGCCAGUGGAAACCCUAACGGUGAAAUCAAGGAUUGCAUCGUGGCCG